UGUUUUAAUUGGUAUAUUCAUUCACAUAUUACAUAUAAAAAGUUUUUUUUUAACAGAAACAUAUCCUAUUCAUCUUUCCAUAAGGUACACUUUGGUUUGAGGGAGUUUACAAAGAGUGCUACUACUCCCUACUCCAGAUUUGAAGCGGCCCUCUAUCUAAAAGAUGAGGGGGACUUGAUUUGAAAUUCAAAGGUACCAUUUCCUAAUGGUUGUGGAUCAGGUGGCUUCUCUGGGACAACCUCAUAUGGAGUAACAUUUUUCCUACUUAGAUUAUUUAUUUUAGUAACUUCAUCGGUGUUCAUUUGAUCUGUUGAUUUAAGAGUUUUAUAAGCAAACAUAUUAUCCACCUUGGCAUCUAUACUAGUUUGAGUAUGUUGAUUGUAACAUUCUUUGGUUUCUUCUUUCUAAAAACCUUAUUCUUUCUUAGAGAUUCCUUUUAUGCUCUUUGCUCUUCUCUCAUAUGGUGGAUUUGUAGUUUCAGCCUGCUUAUUUUGUGCUCUCUUUCUUCUUAUUUGGUAUUUAUGAUCCACUCUCCUGUAUAAAUCUAAUGGGAGUAAUAACCUUUUUUUUUC